rnacentral:rRNA from 1 species
ACGGAAGGCGGCAGUGGGGAAUAUUGCACAAUGGGCGCAAGCCUGAUGUAGCAACGCCGCGUGAGGGAAGACGGUUUUCGGAUUGUAAACCUCUGUUCUUAGUGACGAAGAAGUGACGGUAGCCAAGGAGCAAGCCACGGCUAACUACGUGCCAGCAGCCGCGGUAAUACGUAGGUGGCAAGCGUUAUCCGGAAUUACUGGGUGUAAAGGGAGCGCAGGCGGGAUAGCAGGUCAGCGGUGAAAUGUAUGGGCUUAACCCAUGAACUGCCGUUGAAACUGUUAUUCUUGAGUGGAGUAGAGGCAGGCGGAAUUCCGAGUGUAGCGGUGAAAUGCGUAGAUAUUCGGAGGAACACCAGUGGCGAAGGCGGCCUGCUGGGCUCUAACUGACGCUGAGGCUCGAAAGUGUGGGGAGCAAACAGGAUUAGAUACCCUGGUA